rnacentral:rRNA from 1 species
GACGUAGGGCGCGAGCGUUGUCCGGAUUUAUUGGGCGUAAAGAGCUCGUAGGCGGCUUGUCGCGUCAACUGUGAAAACCCGUGGCUCAACCAUGUGGUCUGCAGUCGAUACGGGCAGACUAGAGUGUGGUAGGGGAGACUGGAAUUCCUGGUGUAGCGGUGAAAUGCGCAGAUAUCAGGAGGAACACCGAUGGCGAAGGCAGGUCUCUGGGCCAUAACUGACGCUGAGAAGCGAAAGCAUGGGGAGCGAACAGG